rnacentral:tRNA from 1 species
UGGGGAAUCGUCUAACGGCAGGACAGCGGACUCUGACUCCGCCAAUCUAGGUUCGAAUCCUAGUUCCCCAG